GUGGUGAUGCCGAUGGUGUGAGC
rnacentral:miRNA from 15 species